rnacentral:lncRNA from 10 species
GGUUUGGAAUACAUUUUCAAAACAAAUCUCCCAGGACUUGCUCCAUCAUGGAAUGGGAUGGGAUGAGAUGAAAUAGAAUGGAAUGGAAUGGAAUGAAAUGAAAGCUCCAAAAAAAUGCUUCCAAAAGGAAGGAGUGGUCAGUCAUGAAAAAAAAAAAGAACAGCCGAGCUGAAUCAUCUUACAAUUAAUUCCACUGUCAGUAAAGCCCUCCACUCACCUACUACCACCAGCUUGAGAAGCAUUUACCCUGUUUCAUUGAUCCUAAGAUGCAUGUGUCCGAAUGA